rnacentral:misc_RNA from 1 species
UGCCUUACAUGUAGUCCAACACGUGAAUCAGUUUGAAUACAUAUGGGUUGGCUUGAGGUGUUCUACACCUCGGCUUACCUCUGGUUCAGAGGAAGACGACGAAGUGCGUCCUCCUUUGUGCCAAAACUCAAACCCCGGCGCUGAAUGCGUCAAGGAAUUUAAAUUUUGCUCUGAGCACACCUGCAUGGCACCGGAGACGGUUUUCGUGCGUGUUGUGUUUUGACACAUGAUAUAUAUA